UACAGAGGUCUCAAGCGUUGUUCGGAUUCAUUGGGCGUAAAGGGUGUGUAGGUGGCGCGCUAAGUCGGGUGUGAAAUUUCGGAGCUUAACUCCGAAACUGCAUUCGAUACUGGCGUGCUUGAGGACUGGAGAGGAGACUGGAAUUCAUGGUGUAGCAGUGAAAUGCGUAGAGAUCAUGAGGAAGACCAGUGGCGAAGGCGGGUCUCUGGGCAGUAACUGACGCUGAGAAGCGAAAGCGUGGGGAGCGAACAGG
rnacentral:rRNA from 1 species